rnacentral:rRNA from 1 species
UACGGAGGGAGCUAGCGUUGUUCGGAAUCACUGGGCGUAAAGGGCGCGUAGGCGGCUUUAUAAGUCGGGGGUGAAAUCCCGGGGCUCAACCCCGGAACUGCCUUUGAUACUGGUAGUCUUGAGUUCGAGAGAGGUGAGUGGAAUUCCGAGUGUAGAGGUGAAAUUCGUAGAUAUUCGGAGGAACACCAGUGGCGAAGGCGGCUCACUGGCUCGAUACUGACGCUGAGGUGCGAAAGCGUGGGGAGCAAACAGG